rnacentral:rRNA from 1 species
AGUACCUGAAGGAAGAGAAAGAAAUUCGAUUCCGUAAGUAGCGGCGAGCGAACGCGGAUUAGCCCAAACCAAUAAAGUUUUCUUUGUUGGGGUUGCGGACAUAUCAUAACGAAGAGGUAUCGUAAUUGAAGAGGUUUGGAAAGACCCACCACAGAAGGUAAUAGUCCUGUAUGUUAAACGAGAAGACUUCAGAUAUGAUCCAGAGUACCACGGGACACGUGAAACCCUGUGGGAAGCAGGAGGGACCACCCUCCAAGGCUAAAUACUACCUAGUGACCGAUAGCGUAUAGUACCGUGAGGGAAAGGUGAAAAGAACCCCGGGAGGGGAGUGAAAUAGAACCUGAAACCCUGCACUUACAAGCUGUGGAAGCACAUUUCUUGUGUGACCGCGUACUUUUUGUAGAACGGGCCAACGAGUUACGUUAAGUAGCAAGGUUAAGCACUUAAGGUGCGGAGCCGUAGCGAAAGCGAGUUUUAACUGAGCGUUCAGUUACUUGACGUAGACCCGAAACCGGGCGACCUACCCAUGAGCAGGAUGAAGCGAAAGUAAAAUUUCGUGGAGGUCCGAACCCACGAGCGUUGAAAAGCUCGGGGAUGACUUGUGGGUAGCGGUGAAAUUCCAAUCGAGCCCGGAGAUAGCUGGUUCUCCCCGAAAUAGCUUUAGGGCUAGCCUCAAGGUGAGAGAUACGGAGGUAGAGCACUGAAUGUCCUAGGGGGUAUUGCACCUACCGAAGACUAUCAAACUCCGAAUGCCGUCAUCUUAUACUUGGGAGUCAGACUGUGGGUGAUAAGAUUCAUAGUCGAAAGGGCAACAGCCCAGAUCGUCAGCUAAGGUCCCUAAAUGUAAGUUAAGUGGUAAAGGAUGUGGGAUUGCACAGACAACCAGGAUGUUGGCUUAGAAGCAGCCACUCAUUCAAAGAGUGCGUAAUAGCUCACUGGUCGAGUGAUCCUGCGCCGAAGAUUUCCGGGGCUAAAACUUACUACCGAAGCUACGGCAUCAGUAAUGAUGGGUAGGGGAGCUUCCCAUACGGGUUGAAGCAUGACCGUAAGGACAUGUGGACAGUAUGGGAGUGAGAAUGUUGGCAUGAGUAGCGAGAUGUGGGUGAGAAUCCCACAGGCCGUAAACCCAAGGUUUCCAGGGGAAGGUUCGUCCGCCCUGGGUUAGUCGGGACCUAAGCUGAGGCCGAAAGGCGUAGGUGAUGGACAACAGGUUGAUAUUCCUGUACUACCGAUAACCGUUUGAGAGAAGGGAUGACACAGUAGGAUAAGCUAAGCACACUGUUGGUUAUGUGUGCCCAAGCAUUGAGGCAGUCAAAGUAGGCAAAUCCGCUUUGAUAAUGCUGGGAUGUGAUGGGGAGCGAAAUUUAGUAGCGAAGUAGCUGAUUUCACACUGUCAAGAAAAGUCUCUAUCGAGGUUAAAGGUACCCGUACCGCAAACCGACACAGGUGGGUGAGGAGAGUAUCCUAAGGCCAGCGAGAGAACUGUUGUUAAGGAACUCGGCAAAAUGACCCCGUAACUUAGGGAUAAGGGGUGCCACCAUCAGGUGGCCGCAGAGAAUAGGCCCAAGCGACUGUUUACCAAAAACAUAGGUUUCUGCUAAGUCGCAAGACGAUGUAUAGGAGCUGACGCCUGCCCGGUGCUGGAAGGUUAAGGGGAUCUGUUAGAGCAAUCGAAGCAGUGAACUUAAGCCCCAGUAAACGGCGGCCGUAACUAUAACGGUCCUAAGGUAGCGAAAUUCCUUGUCGGGUAAGUUCCGACCCGCACGAAAGGCGUAACGAUUUGGGCACUGUCUCAACAACAGACUCGGUGAAAUUGUAAUUCCGGUGAAGAUGCCGGAUACCUGCGACAGGACGGAAAGACCCCAUGGAGCUUUACUGUAGCUUGACAUUGGGUCUUGGUACUACAUGUACAGGAUAGGUGGGAGGCUUUGAAACCAGGACGCCAGUUUUGGCGGAGCCAUCCUUGGGAUACCACCCUUGUAGUACUGGGACUCUAACCAUAGGCCAUGAAUCUGGUCUUGGGACACUGUCAGGUGGGCAGUUUGACUGGGGCGGUCGCCUCCCAAAAGGUAACGGAGGCGCUCAAAGGUUCUCUCAGUACGGUCGGAAAUCGUACGUAGAGUGUAAAGGCAAAAGAGAGCUUGAUUGCAAGACAUACAGGUCGAGCAAGGAUGAAAAUCGGACUUAGUGAUCCGGUGGUUCUGCGUGGAAGGGCCAUCGCUCAACGGAUAAAAGCUACCCUGGGGAUAACAGGCUUAUCUCCCCCAAGAGUCCACAUCGACGGGGAGGUUUGGCACCUCGAUGUCGGCUCAUCACAUCCUGGGGCUGUAGUAGGUCCCAAGGGUUGGGCUGUUCGCCCAUUAAAGUGGUACGCGAGCUGGGUUCAGAACGUCGUGAGACAGUUCGGUCCCUAUCCGUCGCAGGCGUAGGAAAUUUGAGAAGACCUGUCCUUAGUACGAGAGGACCGGGAUGGACGUACCUCUGGUGUACCAGUUGUCCUGCCAAGGGCAUGGCUGGGUAGCUAUGUACGGAAUGGAUAAGCGCUGAAAGCAUCUAAGCGCGAAGCCAACUUCAAGAUAAGAUUUCCCACCGCAAGGGUAAGACCCCAGAAAGACUAUCUGGUUGAUAGGUCGAAGGUGUAAGUGCAGCAAUGUAUUUAGCUUAUCGAUACUAAUAGGUCGAGGACUUGACCAA